rnacentral:tRNA from 1 species
GUCCUCGUAGCUUAAUGGAUAAAGCGUCCGCCUCCGGAGCGGGAGACUGCGCGUUCGACUCGCGCCGAGGACACCA